CAGUAGCCGCGGUAAUACGUAGGGUGCAAGCGUUAAUCGGAAUUACUAAGCGUAAAGCGUGCGCAGGCGGUUAUAUAAGACAGAUGUGAAAUCCCCGGGCUCAACCUGGGAACUGCAUUUGUGACUGUAUAGCUAGAGUACGGCAGAGGGGGAUGGAAUUCCGCGUGUAGCAGUGAAAUGCGUAGAUAUGCGGAGGAACACCGAUGGCGAAGGCAAUCCCCUGGGCCUGUACUGACGCUCAUGCACGAAAGCGUGGGGAGCAAACAGGAUUAGAUACCCCUGUAGUCCCUGUCUCUUAUAC
rnacentral:rRNA from 1 species